AUAACCAUACUUUAUUCGUAACCAAGCAAAUAGCUCGCUGAUUCGUUCGCAUUGAUUGGUCUUUCGAAAUAACCUUGAAUUUUAUUGUGUUUCAAUAAAACUAAGUUUGCAAGUAUCUGAUUCUGAAAAGGAUUCAUUUUAGUUUUUAAUCGAAUGAACACGUGCAGUUCGGUACACGCAAGUGUUGCGCCUCAAAUAAGUCCUACAGUAAGCCUUUUCAUUCUGGACAAUUCUGUUUUUGUGGUAUUACACACUUCCACGUAGAUCCUCACGGUAGUGCGGUGAUAGAAGCAAAGCUUCCCUGCUUGAUCACAAAAUAAUACGCAUCUGUAAAACAAUGCACCUAAAGGGGGUUUGAAGUCGUCGUGGCGUAAAGGAUAAGACAUCCGGUGCAAUCGUGUCGAGCGAUACAACGGUGAUUGAAUCUUGCAGGCGGGUACCAAUUUUUUUAAAUGAAAUACGUACAUAACAAUUGUUCACGAUUGACUUCCACGGUGAAGGUGUAAUCGUGUAAUCUUGUUACCACCAAGUGGUUACCCGACCCGUGGCACGGGAGGUUAGGUAGUUACCACCAUCCUGCCUACUUCUGCCAUGUAGCAGUAAUGCGUUCCGGUCUGGAAGGUGGAGUAGCCGCUAGCCGCAGCAACUAUACUGAGAUGUUAGAACUUAGAAAGUUUAUUAAUAAAAUCUUUGAUAUAAUCAAUUUUAAUUAUAAAAACUUCAGAAUCUCAUCGUAAUUUCAGACUUUCUAUUGGGUCUUUCUAAACCGAGUUUAAGAUUUAUUGCCAUACAACAAGCAACUGGUGGUAGGACCUCUUGUGAGUCCGCACUGGUAGGUAUCACCACCUCGACUAUUUCUGCCGUGAAGCAGUAAUGCGUUUUGGUUUGAAGGGUGGGACAGCCGUUGUAACUAUACUUGAGAUACUUUAGAACUUAUGUCUUAAGGUGGGUGGCGAAAUUUACGUUGUUGAUGUCUAUGGGCUCCAGUGACCAAUGAACACCAGGUAGGCUGUGAGGUCGUCCACCCAUCUAAGCAAUAAAAAAAAUUUACAUUGUGUCUGUUGAAUGAAUUGCAUCAAAUAUUUUAGUCGUGAGCGUAAUAAUUGUUCAUUGUUGUAUGUUUGAUUUAUUACUGCACGAGUUACUCGAAAACAAUCAAAUUAUUGGUGUUUUUAAUAACUCUGCAUAAAUUAUAAUAUUAUUACUGUUUAUUUAACUAAUAUUUUUACUGCCAAGAAGAGAACGAUCUCACAAGACAUCAAUAACAUGGUGUAAUUUAUUACUUAAAUCAUACCAGAAAAAAAUAUAAUUUCCGUAAUUAUUGUCGGUAGGGCGUAUUGUGACCCCGCAUGGUUAGGUACCACCACCCUACCUAUUUCUGCCGUGAAACAGUACUGUUUCUUUUUGAAGGGUAGCCAGAAGCCAUUGUAAUAUAAAAUUGAGAUUUAGAAUUCAUGUCUCAAGCUGGAGUAGCAUUUACUUUGUUGAUGUCAUUGGGCUCUGGUAACCACUUAGCACCAGGUGGGCCGUGAGCACGUCCACCCAUUUACGUUAUAAAAAAAUGUAGUCAUUUGUAUCUAUAUUUUUAGACGAGAGGAUCUUACUUUUUUUCCUACCUAUGCUGAUAACCUUCAGAGGCUAUAUCAGCGUUGCCCUGGCGUGUAGGUGAGCUCUCGGAGCUCAAACCGGAGUGUUGCUAGCACUGGCCCUAGCAAGAGCAGUGCUUCACAGAAUCUACCACCGAAUCGGAAAAGCGACCCACGGAGAAGAUCCGGCGAGAAACACAGCGGGCUGUGUCUUUGGGUUAAUUUACUCGCCAAGUCCUUCGUUCCACGAGCACAGUGACCGGAGGAUCUUACAAUAAAGUUUGUUGUCGGCUAUAGAUCAAACAAAAGCUAAAGUAAGUAAAGUACUUUACUUUACUAAAGUACUUCCUCAUCACCCUUCCUCAAUAUAUUUUCCUGUCUAACGUCCUCUACUUCUGCCCUUCGCUCAUAUCAUGUUCCACCAGUACGGUGGAAGAUCUUGUGUGAUCCACGCGACCCACUACCGCCAUCUUCCAUUUUCCGAUUGCACAAAACAAAUGAAUACCGAUUGCAAACUGCAAACUUGUAAACCGCGACACGAUAAUAUGGUCCAGUAAGAAAAACGAGAUAGCCGUUAUUUCAAUCAAAAUGUCGACUUUGCUUCAUUGAUCUGAUAAUCGCUUAAUAUCAGGUGAGCUGUGCAUCUACCUUUAAUAUCAGAUGAACUAUGUUAUGUUAUGUUAUUUCUAACUAUGUUAAAAGAAUGUGUGCAGUUCAGACCCGGUAUAACGAAACCUUCGGAAGUAGUUAUCUCAUUUUUUCCGCUACAAAGGUAUAUGUUUGUCUCAUUUUAGUGUCGUUCUUUUCGUUUCCCAACGGUGCUGUAGCAGCUUUUGCUACCGACACGUACACUGGUGAUGAAAGGGAUGCUGUUUUAACUUUCCCCUCGUUUAGUUAAAACAAGCGAUCACCAUAAAUGAAAUGAGUGUGUUGUGUUAGCGUCGGGCCUGCUUUACUUAUUGCAAACAUUAUGUUUUGUUUCCGUAUAAAAUUUAAUUACAACGCGAUAAAUGUUAACAAGAGUCGUGGCUUUACACACACAAUGUGCUCAUAGUACAGCCGUAUCGAGCACACCCCUCACAUCUUAGAUAUUUGUUCGAAUUAAAUUUAACUUAUUUUUUGGGUCGGAUACCUAGUCUUUGGUUUUGGUAAAUUUAAGUAUAUUUGCCAAUAGAUUUAAAGUAAACUGUCACAGCAAUUAGAUCAGAGGAUGUUAUAAUGAUAUUUAUUAUUUUGAUUGCACUAAAAAGGUGGAUGAACUCACGGCCCACCUGCUCUUAAAUAAAUACUGGUGCCUAUAGAAACCAUAACGCGUAUGCCGCAACCCACAAUCAGAUAUGAGGUCGAAAUCUCAGCUAUACUGUAAUAUUUUUUUUAUUUUUUAAUCCGGUAGCCUAAGAAGCUAUUCCAGCUACGCCCUAACGGGUAUGUGAGCUCACGAGCACAAUCUGAGAGAAUUUGCUAACACUAGCCCUAGCAAAAGCAGUGCUUCGCAGAAUCUACUACUGGAUCGGAAUCUCGUCCCGCUGAGAAGAAACUCAGUGGGCUGUGUCUAUGGGUUAGUUGGUACAACACCUGCCCCACCCUUCAAACAGGAACGCAGGACUGCUUCGUAGCAGAAAUAGGCAGGCAUUGGCCGGCGCAGGCCACGCCUUCUUUUCCGGUACGCUCUACCACAGUAAACAGUAUACAAGCACAGUCUAUAGUUCAUUAGGAACACUAAUUAUCAAUGUAUUAUUUUCCAGAUUAACAAAUCUGUUUAAAAAUUAUCAUUCAAGACCCGACAGCGUUAUAUUUCAGUAAUAACAGUCCCGUAAUAAAGAGUUGUAAACGAGAGCUCCGGGAAAAGUUACCCUUAUGAGAUAGUCUAUGAGUUAGCAUUUGCUACCCGGAAACACAGUUUUGAAUUGCAAGCUGCCCGGACACUCCACAUAACAAACGUAUUCAAUAAACUAUUGCUAACUACCUACAUGCAGCCGAUUUGACUCCGUACGCUGUGUGUAUGUAUGAGACAACAGAACGGGAUAGACAGAAAGAAAACUAUUCACUCACGUAUUGAAGCAUUACACCAGUUUUACAAAAAAAAGUAAAAAGGUCAUUGCACCAUGCGUGGGGAGAUAAAAUAAUUGCUUAGUAUUGCUCGUACAUUGUGUAUAUUUUCAUUAAUUAUAUUAUACAUACACUGUGUAUAUUUUACAGAUUUUUUCUAAGCAUAAGUGACCUCUAUUGCACAUAACUAUUUUAUCACAUAAACAUAAUAUAUAUUUUUCUGCUUUUAUCUGCAAUUAUCUCGGCCAAACAUUGUUAUAAUUCUUUUUUAUUAAUAAAGUACUUUUAUUGUUUUUAUUUUUGUUUUCUGAGUCCUCUCCUGAUCACGAACAUUUUUUUUAUUGCUUAGAUAGUCGAAUGAGCUCACGAUCCAUCUGUUGUUAAUUGGUUAUCGGAGCCCAUGGAAAUCACAACAUAAAUGCCACCACCCACCUUGAGACAUGCAUUCUAAAACUCCGUUACAGUACAACGACUGCCAUACCCUUCAAAAUGAAACGCUACUCGUGCAGGCUCACAAACAAGACAUCCUAUCACCAGUAACUAAGCUAAUUAUAUUUUUUGCAGGUUUGAUUUUUAUUAAACGAUAUUUUUCCUGCAUCACACCAAGUAAACAGCAAGACGCAUCCAGUUAAUUUAUUCUACAAACGAACCUCGUAUCUGCUUCGCGGCAGAAAUAAGCAGGAGGGUGAAAACUAUCCGUGCGAGCCCAUGGAUGAUAAUAAUCACAAAACCGAUAGAUAUUUGAUAAAAACUUGAAUCACCCUAACGACAUUUGCAACAUAAGCUUGAGCAUAUCUGAUGUUCUGAGAAUCCACUGAGUUUCUCGCCGGAUCUUCUCAGUGGGUUGCGAUUCCGAUCCGGUAUUAGAUUCAGCGAAGCACUGCUCUUGUUCGUGUUAGGCUAGUGUUAGCAAAUCCUUUCAAGUUCAGUCCGUGAGAUCCCCUACCCAUCUGAGGGUAGCUAUAAUAAAGUAGCUGUAUCCUCUGGCUGAUAGCGUAAAGGCUACAGCGAAUAGCUAGGGAAAUAAGUUCCGAGGAACAUUCGUACCGGGGAUGGACAAUUUGGACAACUGCUCGGUGGAAGAUCGUCCCUCUGUCAUCCCUCUCAAACUAAUAUCAAUUUAAAUUCGAACCGUUCUAUACAAAAACAGGAACACUAGGUACUUUGUAAUUUAUUUAUAUUAAAUUAGGAAAAGCAAAUUUCUUUAUUUGUCAAAGCUUUUGGCACUACAACAACUUUAGGAAUAUUUUUUUUAUAACUAAAAUAGGUAAACGCCACCCAGACAUGAUUGACUUUCCAAUUGCGUUAGUACAACCCCAGUUCUGAAGCAAACCGGAGCAGAAGCCUUCAAAGACACACGCUGGACAAUGAUAUCCACGACGUGCCUUUCAAAAUCUUCAGGGGGCUGAAUCAACGAUGGUGAACACUCCAAUACGAGAAAAGAAUAAUAAGAAUUAAUAUACUGGCAUAGGAUCAAACGACACGGGUUUUUGGUUGGAGGGAGACUGUUGUUUCUUAGAUUGUUUUAAGUAACGGAGACCUCAAAAUGUCUCUUUAAUUAAGUCAAACCAUACUCUCGUGUCUUCAACAAUAUCUCCCUUUAAAUUCAGACCUUGAAUUCUAUACGGAAAACAUAUAUGUUCUUCCAGGUCUCCGGUUAUCUAUACCAGCAAUCCUAAAUCUGUUAUAAUUGAAAAACGAACUGGACAUAGAGCACCCAACAUCUUAUCUACCGUACCGACCACCGAACAUUGUGGUACUUGCUAUCAGUCCAAAAAAAAACCUGUAUUUCCUUAUUCUUAAUUUCCAUUUCAAGUGUGGUAUUUGUUUGUUAAUGUUUAGUUUUCAAUGUUUUGCUUAUUGUCUAAAUGUUAGUAAGAGUUACUGUUAUUGGAUAUGGACCCUCGAGUGGAGACCUCCUCCAGUCCUUUCCACUGAUUUUGUCCUUGCCAAUAGUUUGCCGGUCCUUCCCUAUUAAUUCAGUUAUAUCGUCAGCCCAUCGUUUUUUCGAUCUCCCUACCCUUCUUUUGCCAACUGACCCUUUCCACAUUGUAGUAUUGAUUGUCCACCUGGGGUCUGUAUAUCUGAACUGAAAUAUCAAGGUCAACAAAAGUUCUAAAUCACGAUAAAAACUAGUCAAAUUUAAGUAUUCCUAAGCUACCAUUACAGUACUAUUGACAAUUAGUAUUACAGUGCCACCGUAUGCACUCACAAAGGCAGUACACAUUACGUAUUCAUAGAUAAAAUUUCUGAAAACUAAAACCCGUGUUACAUGUCCCGGCUCGAACUUACGACCUUUUGCCGCAACGAGAACUCGGAUACGUCAAGUGAAUUAUAAUACAAACAACAAUAAACACAAGCGCAGCAUUGCGAUUAUUAAAAAAAUAAAAUGUACAUAUUUUAUAUGUACAGGUCGUUCAACUAUUUUAUUUACCUAAAAAUAUAGUAGUACUUCCAGUUGUUUACAUUUCGAAAUUGCAUUUUUUUUGUACGUAAUUUAAAAAAAAGAUAUAUUAUAUACUAUCAAACCCUACAGACGUUGUCCUGUAUAAUACACAAAGGGAAUGAAAUGAGUGAAUAAAUGUAUGCAUACAUAAAAAUUCAUUCAAGUCGAUCCAGCGUUUAGUUGCAAUAUAGACAAAUAACCUAGAUACCGACUGCAGCACCAUCUGCCGGGGUGAUUUGUGAAUCUAAGCCAUCCAUGGCGCUACCCAAACGCAUACAAUAAAAAAUCAUUCAAAUCGGUCCAGCCGUUUAAGAGGAAUUCAGUGACAUACACUCGUACAGUAGAAUUAUAUGUAUAAAGAUUAACGUCAUAUUAUUACUCUCCAAAUCCUCGCCAUCAGAGAUAUGGUCGGAUAUGAAAUCAAAGUAUCGAACAGCAGAUCCGACCUUAUGGUUUUAAUGUCGGGAAAUGCAUAACGAAAGUGAAUUCUGAGUAUGUUCAUAUUCAUCUGAAUGCAGGGUGUGACAAGACCAUUCCCGGUGCUGAUAUGUUUAAUAUAUCGAGGGGUAAAGGCUAUUUUGUUUAAGCGAAUUUUUUCCAACUUUACAGGAGGUCCAUAUAAAGUUUAAAAUUUGGAAAAAAUAUCACACUAAAAAAAACUUCUUCGGCUAUUUCAAUGGAGUGAACUUAAUUGAAGUUCAAUUAAAAAGUUCAAUCAAUUAAACCGUUCAUGCUAAUAGCAAAUAAAACGGACUCUUAAUUACAAAAAAAAAUGUCGCGUAAUUAGCAUUUCACCCCUCCAUAUUAUUAUUAUUAUUUUACUACCACUACACUGCACUAGUGUGUAGGAACCUUGUCCGCAGCCGCAAUAGCAAUAAACAAUUACUAUCCCCAAAAAAAAAGGAACUAUUGACGAGAUAACUUAACACUUUAUUCAUAUACCACGCAAACUACAGCAAAAACAUAAACUGCAGGGCGUUGACCCCGCGCGUCAUCUGGUAAUACAUUGCGUGUACAAUAUUCUUUUUUUUUUUAAACGAACACCGUAUGAAUGUAAUAAAACAACAUACUGCUUUAAACGUUUUCCACAACGAUAUUACAAUAUCUAAAAAAAAAAACUUAAAUUCCUUAUUUAAAAAAAUACUUAAAAUUACCAAUUCCCGAAGAAUACCAAUAUUACGUAUGUGUACUUAUUAUUAUUAUUUUAUUAUAUAAUUAUUAUGUAAAAACAUAUUUUCACUAAAAACAUUAAAACAAUUAUCGGUUCAAUAUUUUCUAGGUUGACUCCGCAGAACCAAAGGUCUAGAAACUUUCGGAUCAUGCGUGCGUUUAUUGUUACUCCUAAUAAGUAAGGUAAUUGUGAAUAUAGCGUUGGUACAUUUUUUAAUGAGAAAAUCGUCGGGGCACGGCUUGCAGCACUCGACCUUGGCCCAGUAGACCAUGGACACUUGCAAGACGUACCUCGUUUGAUCGGGCCUUUUCCAAUUUAAUUCCCUACACGACAUACGACUGCAUUACACAAUGACAUGUCUAUUGGUAUGCAAGCUUUGCUUAUUUCGUAAAUUCCAAAAAUACAAUCUACACCAGAAUUAACCUCCAAAAGCCACGAAGUGAACUCAUUUUGUACCGCGCAUUGACUACUUAAUCCUACACAUUAGUUUUAAAUUAUACUAUCCGUCCUGCUCGCACUCUUGCUGUCGGCCGUAAGUGUAAAAAAAACAAUACGCACUUUUUUGUUGUUGACCAAAGCGUGCAGUAUCAUUCCGUCUCGCUCGCAAUGAUAUGCUCAGCUAUACGUGUAAGCAGGACAGCCGAUGCCAAAUGACAACACUAACCGUUCUUGAUAUCACACUUCCUUCUCUAGAGACCGUCUACAAACCGACUACUAUAAAUACAUACUAGAUAAAAUGUUCUAAGUAUUAUGUAACAAGUAUUACGCGUCUAUAUAUUUACAUUAUUACAUUACGUCACGCUGACAUGUAAAAACAAAUUUAUGAAACAUAAAUCCGUCAAUUAUCUAAGCCCCCACUUUUUAUUUCAUGUUUCCUUUCCCCCGUCCACUUAUGUACAGUUAGCACAAACAUCUUGAUUUAAUUAAUUUUUUAUUACACAAAACAACAUCAGUUUAAUUGGCAACAUUUUGUAUAACGACUUCUUUAUAUACAAUAGUUCUAGAAUCGUCUAAAGUUAUAUGACAAUGAAGACUUCGACCUACGAGCUGGUGAGCCUGGCUGGAGUGGAACCCGAGGCCCGUUGGUACCCAGGACCCAGAGACGUUCGCCCCUCGCCUUCAACGAGCAACUUAAUAUUCGAAGCGUCGGAAAUAAACAAAUAUUUAAUUCGUAAGAAUUGUUAUGUUAUUGUUAGUCGCGAAAACUGAAUAUUAGCAUUGAACAUAAUUUGACGAAUUUGCACUUUGUCCAGAGCAAACAUUUUGAUUUCGAAGUGAAACUUCUAAUGCGACUUCCAACAAGGUUGCGUUAAACGUUUAACGCUGCCAUGGAAUAGAAAGAGACAGAGCGAGAGUGAAUGCGCGGCACUCGUGCGCAUGCGCGUAGUAUACCUGGUACAGGCCAGCGCGAGCGUUAGCAACAAGUAGCAUCCAAUAUUUUAAUGAAGUAUUUAAAAAUAUCUAUAUAUAUAUAUAUAUAUAUUUAUUUUUCAUCGAUAAUUUAAAAUAUAUAUAACAUAAAUGUUGAAGAUGUCGCAUCUCUUAUACACAGCAUUCCCUAUUACAAGAGCAAUCUGAUUUAAGGAUGAAAAAUGAAGAAAACCACUAUACUACACAUCGAAAAAGAAGUUUCACUUCCUUCUCGUUUGGAGCAGAAAUUGCAUGCGCACCGUUUUUUUUUUACAGAAUGUACUUAGGUCAAAUAUAUAUGAAAGUUCUAGAGGCUUCUGCGUCGGCCCGUGCUUAGGGACACAGUCCAGGUAACAUGAGUCGAUCAACUCACAUAUAUUUUUAAUGUCUAUGACUCGGAAAAACUUCAAAAAAUAUUCAUAAUAAUGAUAACUUCACACACACAUACACACACAUCUAUAUAAAACUCUUUGUAACUGUUACACAGUAUUGUGUGUGUAAUUUGAAAAAAUCCACUAAUUUAAAUAAAUACACCUUAACUAAUUACUGAUGUUGAUUGCUACAUUAAAAAAAUAAGUAAAGGUACUAAAAAUAUUUUAGUAAAAAUAUAUUGUAUUUUUAAAGCAUUUCAAUUUUAAAUCGACGUAAUAUGUAAAAUAAUUUGGUUUUUUUUUUCAAACGAUACAAGUACUUGAUAGUAAACAUUGCUUCAAAAAAAAACAUAUUUUAUACAAAAGAAAAAUGUAUUAAUUAUAUUAAUUAUUAUAAUACACAUAUCACACGUAACUAGAUUAAUAAUUAAUUCAUAACAAUUAUCUAACGAUUACUAUUCGAUACCUAUUUUUUUUUAUUUUCGGUUUGAAGCAUACUUCAUCUAUAUAGUAUUAAGUAUAUUAUUUUUUUAAACUAUUACGCAAGUAACAGAGUCCGCUUGGAGCGCGUUCCGCCGCACACGAUGAGGUACAAUUUUGCGUCAUUUUGUUGAAUAUCGAUUUUGAAUAAUUCGAUUAGAAUUUUAAUCGAUAUCAACUAUCGCAAUUCCACUAUUCACAGGCCUGCACCGGGCGCCCCUUGUCGUGUGGCAUCGCGUCUAGUUCGCGGCGUUCUGUUCUCCACGCUUACCGCCGACUGUGUCUGUGAGACAAUCCGGAGGGGUCACACGUCAGGGUUCAAAUUCAUUAGUAAUUAACAUUGCACUGUCGUUCCGAAUGUUUUAUUUUUAGUUUUUAGUCGGAUCCGUGUCCCGCCUCGUGAGGGGGGCCGCCCGCGAGCGAGGAGUGGGGCGCGCGGGGGGGCGGGGGCUCGCAUCACCGCGACGGACAGGAGCUGCCGGUGGACUUGCCGCUGAGGCACGAGAACCCGCUGGCGCCCGACUGCAGGCUCGACAUGGAUCCU